CUAUACAUGACUCUGCGCAUAUCAAUAAGCGGAGGAAAAGAAACUAACAAGGAUUCUCCUAGUAACGGCGAGUGAAGCGGGAAGAGCUCAAAUUUGAAAUCUUAAAGGGUUUCCCUUUACGAAUUGUAGUUUAAAGAAGUGUUUUCUGUUGGAGUUUCGGUAAAAGUUCUUUGGAAUAGGACAUCAUAGAGGGUGAGAAUCCCGUAUUUGACCGUUACUUUCCAGCUGUGUGAUACACUUUCAAAGAGUCGGAUUGUUUGGGUAUGCAGUCCAAAAUGGGUGGUAAAUUUCAUCUAAAGCUAAAUAUUGGCGAGAGACCGAUAGCGAACAAGUACCGUGAGGGAAAGAUGAAAAGAACUUUGAAAGGAGAGUUAAACAGUACGUGAAAUUGUCAAAAGGGAAGCGUUUGACACCAGUGUUGUUUAGUUGAAAAUCAAUUCAAUAAUUUUUGAUUUUGAGUAGUAUUGACUUCAUCAGCUUGCUGCUUUCUUUUCGAAAAUUAUUGAAUGCACUUUUCAGUUAACAAGUCAACAUCAAUUUCUUUUGUUGUAAAAGGGUAAGAGGAAGGUGGCUUACGCUUCGGCGUAAGUGUUUAUAGCCAUUUACCUCUGCAAUCGGAGAGAUUGAGGUCAGCAGCGUAGACUCCUUCGGGGGUUAGAUACACUUGUGCUAAGCUAUAGCCUUGUAUAGACAACUUGUUGACUAUGCUCAGUCAUGUAGCUUACUCGCAUGUGCUAUUUUACCUACGCUUAGGAUGUUGAUAGUCACAGCGUGUAC
rnacentral:rRNA from 1 species